UACGGAGGGAGCUAGCGUUAUUCGGAAUUACUGGGCGUAAAGCGCACGUAGGCGGCUUUGUAAGUUAGAGGUGAAAGCCUGGAGCUCAACUCCAGAAUUGCCUUUGAUACUGCAUGGCUUGAAUCCAGGAGAGGUGAGUGGAAUUCCGAGUGUAGAGGUGAAAUUCGUAGAUAUUCGGAAGAACACCAGUGGCGAAGGCGGCUCACUACACAAUUAUUGACGCUGAGGCACGAAAGCGUGGGGAUCAAACAGG
rnacentral:rRNA from 1 species